rnacentral:lncRNA from 10 species
AUGAUCACAAGGUCCCACAAUAGGUCAUCUGCAGGCAGAGGAGCAAGGAGAGCCAGUCCGAAUUCCAAAACUGAAGAACUUGGAGUCUGAUGUUUGAGGGCAGGAAGCAUCCAGUACAGAGAAAGAUGUAGGCUGGAGGCUAGGCCAGUCUGCCUUUUGACAUUUUUCUGCCUGCUUAUGUUCUAGCCACACUGGCAGCUGACUACAUUGUGCCCACCUAGAUUAAGGGUGGGUCUGCCUUUCCCAGCCCACUGACUUAAAUGUUAAUAUACUUUGGCAACACUUUCACAGACACUCCCAGGACCAAUAUUUUGUAUCCUUCAAUGCAAUGAAAUUGACACUCAGUAAUUAACCAUCACAAUUUCCCACAAACACUGAGUUUUAUCAAUUCAGAAAGAAUCAAAGAGUUGCCAAGUGAGAAGCUGCCAGUGGAGACAGGAAUGAUGUCUUCCCAAGGUCCAAGUUAACCUCCACCAAAACUGAGGGUACAGAAAAAUAGCCACAGACACCUUUGUUUAACUUGGGUCUGAUAACCUACAGGUCACAUUCUGCAGGCUUCCAAAUUAACCACCUAGGGAAGGUCUUAUGAUUCAUAAUGACAUCCCGUUCCUAAGCCAAGAAUCUUAAGUGAGUUUCUCAAACCUUAUCCUGAGCUCCUCAAGCCGUUGAUGUACUGAUUAGUAUGUAACCUACUGACAUUGAAAAGGACCCUGAUUUGUUUCUGAAUCGUGAAGUUUUGCCAAUUGUCUUGCACAUAGAACAUUUUAGCCUGUAUGUUGUUGUCUGUAGCCAACGAGUGUAACCUCUGUAUUGUACCCUUUAAUGAAAAGGACAACUGUGACAUGAGAAGUCUCCCUCCCUCUUCCUAAACUUUCUUAUAAAAGUCUCCAACUUGUAGCAAACUUUGGAAUUCACCCAACUUUGUUGGUGUGUCUUCCUGAGUCAGUCCUCAAAUUUGACUUCCAGUAAACUUAUAUCUAAUUAUUUCUGCCUCAACAGCCUUAAUUUCGGUCAACAGGUCACACCCUCCUGGCUGGGAAGAGAAGUGACUAGAUCAGCAGAUCUCAUAGCCCCAAGAUCCCUGUGGGACAAUUUCUGCUCGUGGUCUUGGACCAAGAUACUUAACUCCUCUGAGCACAGGGUUCUCUCCUUUGUGUAAAGUGACUGAUCCUGGAGGCUACAUUCUGGAGUUUGUGUGAGGGAUCCAGUGAUUUGAUACACACAAAAUGUCUUGGACAUUUCUUGGCCCAUGGAACAGGUUCACAAUGGUACCUGUUAGCCUUGUUCUCAUUGGAUGCUGUUGAAAUGUAUCCAGAACCAUUAAGGGGAGACCUGGGGAUCAGAAGGCGGCAAGGCAGCCUCCCCGGCAAGCGCUCAGAGAGAGAGAGAGUCUGAAGACCACAAGCUCCCCAGUGCGGCUCAGCUCUCCUAGGCCCUGGGUAUGGGUCUUCGAAACCCUGGGCUUUCUCCCAGUGCAGCGGCUAGCCACAUGAUUGCGUCCUCAUUCAUUGCUGUCCUGUGUCCAAGUUCCACAUAAACUAUGGAAUAAAAUUACACUGAAGACUCAGACAAGUGACUCCUCAAUGAGGACAUUAAAGCUGCCUUCAAACUGCUGACCGCCCCUUUGGGUCUUCCUGAAGAUACUUUCCAAACCGAAGAAGACACCCAAACCUGUUUCAUAUAACUUUGAGAAGUGUACGGAUCUCAUCAGAAAGCCAUUGAUCAAACCUUCAUAUUCCAGACUAAUUUCACAGGUGGCUAAGCUCAUUAUCUUAUAAUGAUUUUUAUUAUAACUCUUGGAGAGUGAUCUUUACCAAUUUGUCUCUAAAUUCUGGGAAUAUGUCUCUUUUUGAAGCAUAUACACCAACUAUCCCUGGAUAUGAGUAAUGAAAUUUUGAGUAGCUAUUAUGUUUCUAUAUAUUAAAAUUAUAUCUGCAAAACUUUCUUGGAAACCUUAAUAACAACCAAAAUCUAUAUGAUGUAACCAUUUCCAAGUAUUAUUUUUACUCAUGCUUCCAGGGCAGGAGCUUCACGGUAUUAAAGAUAGCUGUGUCCAGUGGUGGAAAAGAGGGAAGACAGCCUUAAAGAUUAUCUAAUUCACCUUCCCUCUUUCUACCACAGAUGAAAAAUGGGAGCCCAGGUAACGUAAAUGACUUGUCCAAGGUUACUGGAUUUAGGUCUCAUUUUAAUAUAUUUUUAAAUAUGUAUGAAAAUAAUUACCUGAAUCAAAAUGUGGGAAUGAAUGGGUCUAGAGGAGAUUAACUUUCAAGAAAUAAUCUCAAUAAGACAUUUAAUUGUAUGAAUUAAUAAUUCUAACCAGGGUAAAAAGAAGCCUGUUCUUUGUAUCCAGAUAAUAUGCAACAGAGUUGGACCAUGCCACUGCCCCUUAUGGUGUGGUUCAAGAACACGUGCUCUACACCUGAUAGGAGUUUGGUGGGAAAUGAGUACAGGAAGUGAAAGAAAGAGUUGCUGGUGAUCAACAAGGCCCUCAAGGAGCCAGGGGGACAUCAGGACAGCUUCGACCUCUUCCUUCUCAGCAGGACCCUCAUUGUUUCAUCAGGGUGGUUUCUGACCAUCCCAGGAAAAAAAAAAUGUCUGCAAUGAAAAAUGCAUGUGCUACCUAUCAACACAGGGCCACUAGGUUUUGGUCUUGAGUUCUAGGCACAGAGAUUAAAUCAUCUAAUGACAGUGGAGUCACUUCACAGCAUCUGCCUUUUUUGAGAAAGAUUAACAACUGUCUUUUUUUUUAAAAUGGAGUCUUGCUCUGUCACCCAGGCUGGAGUGCAGUGGCGCGAUUGUGGCUCACUGCAACCUCUGCAUUCCCAGUUCAAGCGACUCUCUCUGCCUCACCCUCCCGUGUAGCUGGGAUUACAGGCACCUGCCACCACGCCUGGCUAAUUUUUAUAUGUUUUGG